UCGGGAAUUUUGGGCAAUGGGCGAAAGCCUGACCCAGCAACGCCGCGUGAAGGAUGAAGUAUUUCGGUAUGUAAACUUCGAAAGAAUGGGAAGAAUAAAUGACGGUACCAUUUAUAAGCUCCGGCUAACUACGUGCCAGCAGCCGCGGUAAUACGUAGGGAGCAAGCGUUGUUCGGAUUUACUGGGCGUAAAGGGCGCGUAGGCGGCGCGGUAAGUCACUUGUGAAAUCUCUGAGCUUAACUCAGAACGGCCAAGUGAUACUGCAGUGCUAGAGUGCAGAAGGGGCAAUCGGAAUUCUUGGUGUAGCGGUGAAAUGCGUAGAUAUCAAGAGGAACACCUGAGGUGAAGACGGGUUGCUGGGCUGACACUGACGCUGAGGCGCGAAAGCCAGGGGAGCAAACGGGAUUAGAUACCCGUGUAGUCCCUGAGCGGGCUGGCAAGGCGCAU
rnacentral:rRNA from 1 species